UUUGAGGAAAAGAAACCAACAGGGAUUGCCUUAGUAACGGCGAGUGAAGCGGCAAAAGCUCAAAUUUGAAAUCUGGCACCUUCGGUGUCCGAGUUGUAAUUUGAAGAAGGUAACUUUGGAGUUGGCUCUGUCUAUGUUCCUUGGAACAGGACGUCACAGAGGGUGAGAAUCCCGUGCGAUGAGAUGCCCAAUUCUAUGUAAAGUGCUUUCGAAGAGUCGAGUUGUUUGGGAAUGCAGCUCUAAGUGGGUGGUAAAUUCCAUCUAAAGCUAAAUAUUGGCGAGAGACCGAUAGCGAACAAGUACAGUGAUGGAAAGAUGAAAAGAACUUUGAAAAGAGAGUGAAAAAGUACGUGAAAUUGUUGAAAGGGAAGGGCUUGAGAUCAGACUUGGUAUUUUGCGAUCCUUUCCUUCUUGGUUGGGUUCCUCGCAGCUUACUGGGCCAGCAUCGGUUUGGAUGGUAGGAUAAUGACUAAGGAAUGUGGCUCUACUUCGGUGGAGUGUUAUAGCCUUGGUUGAUACUGCCUGUCUAGACCGAGGACUGCGUCUUUGACUACUGACAAUGGCAAAG
rnacentral:rRNA from 1 species